GAUGAACGCUGGCGGCGUGCUUAACACAUGCAAGUCGAACGGUGAACGAGGGAGCUUGCUCCCUCCGGAUCAGUGGCGAACGGGUGAGUAACACGUGAGCAAUCUGCCCUGGACUCUGGGAUAAGCGUUGGAAACGACGUCUAAUACCGGAUACGAGGCGUGGGGGCAUCCACAACGCCUGGAAAGAACUUCGGUCCAGGAUGAGCUCGCGGCCUAUCAGCUUGUUGGUGGGGUAACGGCUCACCAAGGCGACGACGGGUAGCCGGCCUGAGGGGGUGACCGGCCACACUGGGACUGAGACACGGCCCAGACUCCUACGGGAGGCAGCAGUGGGGAAUAUUGCACAAUGGGCGCAAGCCUGAUGCAGCAACGCCGCGUGAGGGACGACGGCCUUCGGGUUGUAAACCUCUUUUAGCAGGGAAGAAGCGAAAGUGACGGUACCUGCAGAAAAAGCACCGGCUAACUACGUGCCAGCCGCCGCAGUAAAAC
rnacentral:rRNA from 1 species